rnacentral:rRNA from 1 species
GUGGCGUACGGGUGAGUAACACGUGGAUCAUCUACCUUUUAGUGGGGAAUACCGCUGGGAAACCGGUGACAAUACCGCAUAAUCCCGAGAGGGGAAAGCCGCAAGGCGCUGAAAGAGGAGUCCGCGGUCGAUUAGCUAGUUGGUAAGGUAAUGGCUUACCAAGGCUGUGAUCGAUAGCCGGCCUGAGAGGGCACACGGCCACACUGGCACUGAAACACGGCCCAGACUCCUACGGGAGGCAGCAGUGGGGAAUAUUGCACAAUGGGCGCAAGCCUGAUGCAGCGACGCCGCGUGAGGGAUGACGGCCUUCGGGUUGUAAACCUCUUUCGCCAGGGACGAAGCGCGAGUGACGGUACCUGGAUAAGAAGCACCGGCUAACUACGUGCCAGUAGCCGCGGUAAUACGUAGGGUGCGAGCGUUGUCCGGAAUUAUUGGGCGUAAAGAGCUCGUAGGCGGUUUGUCGCGUCGGCUGUGAAAUCUGGAGG